rnacentral:lncRNA from 1 species
CGGAAGAGAGCCUGGCAAAGCAGAACAGAAGUGCCACGGGAGCACUGGCCAAAUUACGGGACUUCUGGGCUGACUUAAACCUGUUGCAGAUUAUAACCGUGCAGAGAAAGGUUUUCUGUUGUUUUGUAGCUGUAACUGCUGAGAAUUUUUGACAGAAAGAAGACUCUUGCUUCUUAGCUCCCUCUGCUGGACUUUUCAACCACUUGUGCUUUUCCUGUGGGGUUCCCAGAUUGGUGCCACAGCAAAGAGGAAAGUGAGCCUUCGUCACUUCUGAGGGACUCAGGACUCCAGGUGAAGGAGGAUGGUCCUUCCUGUAUGAGGGAUGGCAAACUGCAUCACUCAAGCCUGCAGAAGCCCUGUUGUCCUUCCAUUCUACCCUUCAGCACUCAUGUGGGCAUCUAAGCCAAGGGGGAGCUCAGCAGUGGCUACUGUAUUCUUUCAGUUCCCACCUCCCUGGGGAAACACCUUUCUACAGGGUGAGUCCUCUGUGACUCGCUCUAUCAGAUGCCACGCCCCCAGCAGUUCCUCUCUGUCCCUCCAGUUUACUGGAAAUACCCAAGUGUGUGUAUGAGCCCAUGACCCACCCCACCCCCACCCCACCCUCAUGGGACACAGAGCACCAAUAGGAAGACCCAUUUCCUCACUCCCAUCUGUCAGGUCUGGUCACCAGCUGACCUGACAUAUCUGAAGUCACCCUCCACUGCCCUUCCUCUUCUGAUAAUGGUUUGCAUCAGCACGAUGCCUUUUCCCCAAAGGUUCUGUGAAAAUACCAAACAGCACCAGAUGUUCCAA